GUUACGAAUUAAGCUCAAAGAUGCAUUCAGUCCCUUCCAAAUUCUGACCAUACUCGUCUCAUUUUCUUUUUAAUAUCUCAAACAUAUAGUGAUUGAUGGGUUACUUUCUACUGCAGGCAGAGGGCUCUCGGGAACGCCCUCGUGGAGUUGGUAGACCAAUACGAUUGCUUCGGUAGUGACGCACUACGAUAAUAAUGGCGGUUGCCAGAGCAGGUAAAAACACGCCAUGGUGUGGUAGCAGGGAUGGUAGGAGCCACCAUGGCGGCUACGACUACCUGACAGCGCGGCAUUAGUUGACCAGUGAACUGUCCAGUAAGGUCUAGCACGUCAGUAAAAGGAACAGAACCGAUAAGCGAGGUAGGCUUACCUAUUAAUCAGGAAUCUCGGGCACAAAAUUAUUGAUUAGGGCUGCUCUAACUACCUGGUUUUAUCAAGUAAGCCUCGUUCUUUGUAUACGCAAGACCCUUUCGAGUUUUUGUCGGAACAGCUUGUCAAUCGGCAACCGGUAGGGAGCUAGGGCUUCCCGUAACAUAGAAAGUCUUUCGGCAGUCGGCUUCUUCUAAGUCCCGUCAACUUGUUCUUCCAGUCUCUAUACUGUGCCAACUACUAAAUCACCUGUUUAAACAUACACCUUACCGGCAGCCAACAAGCAUGUAUGCGCCCCCGUGGCGUCUGAGAUUUCAACAAAGACCUCCUAACGGUAGCAACUUGUUCACGCGAGUUUUCCCAGUACCACCACCUCCCAGGAAGUACACAAGAUUUGUCAUGUUCUUAACCACUAGACAGUUUGACUCUUAACAUAGCUAAAACAGGCAGACUCUUCUGGUUUCACAACAGCCGCAUGUUCAGAAAUAGGGGUCUGCUUAGUUGUAGAAUCUGUAGGGACCGCUACAACUUAUAGCUGAUGAAGAUAAAUGGCUUUUUGAAUGAAUAUAAGAUUUUUUUAACACUCUGUAGGCUAGUGUUCGGAGACAAGUAUUGUUAGGCGGUAAGGCACACAAUAUACAGAGCCCUUUAUGUACAGAGCCAGGUACCGCCAGGAAGGCGCCAUAUUAACUUAUAGCUGGCGACGGAGGUUAAAAAAAAUCGAUAAAACCUUGACAAGUCACCUCGCGCUUUUGACACAAGAUAAUGAUAUCCAGAGUACACCAAUCCAUAUGUACAAGGUCGGAUAGAAGAAACUCGGAUUUGGAAGAUGGAUUUUUUUUGCCAUGAUUUUACCGUAUAAGUCUGUAUAGUCUGCUCAGGUUUAUGAAGAAUGUGUUUGUAUUUCUAAGCACUUAUGUCAAAACUAUAAUACCAUUGAUGUAUGGAAAAAUAAUGUCAUUUUUAUAAUAAAAUAUUUUGUUGUUUCGUUUCA